AUAACUUAACUGUCAACUGCUCAGAAGUUUCUUGGGAGUCAGUUUCUGCUGUUUCUGAAGCAGUUUCAGUCCUUGAAUGGGAGAGAGGAUCUGGGAGAGGAGCUGCUUCCUCUCUUCUCUGCUUUCCUCUGCCAGGCUUAGCAGAAGGUUUGUUCUCCAGAUGCAGUUUAAGGCUUCAAGGACCCCACCGGGCGGCUCUUCCUGGGCACCUUCAGCAUCCUGCCAGGGGAGUCGUGGUCAUCACGAUGGAAGGGGCUUCUCUUCUGUGCUGUGGCCCACUUCAUCAAGUGAAAAAGAGGCACCAAAACAGGACCAUGUCUGAUUUGGGGGACAAGUGGUGUUUCCUUUGCUCUUUCUGGCAUAAGAAGGUCAAGCUGCGUAAAGAUAAAGCAGGAUCCGGCGAGGAAGCAGCGGACUUUGAAAGAAGAUGAAUGAAUUGAGCUGACUCUGCCAUGUAUUCAACAUCUUGUCGUCCAUCUUUAUAGGAAUCAUUUGAAAAAGAAAGUUCAUCUUAGGUAAUAUGUUCAUGUUUACUGCAGAUAGUUUUCAUGGAUAGAUAGUACCUAGAUGUAAUCAAAUGCUUUCUCUGUUUUGUCAUUUUCCUUCAUGUA